UGAAGGUGUAGUAGAACUGUCAGCUCCUCCUGCACCAUGCCUGCUUGGAAGCUGCCAUGUUCCUGCCUUGGUGAUAAUGGACUGAACCUCUGAACCUGUCUUGGGGACCUCCAAACCCAGCUGAAUAGGGAGACAGACACUUGGUUUGGAGCAAAGCCUGUGAGCCAAAGGUGUGUGUCGUGGUCCGAGGGUGGAGCCUUCUGACCCAAGUGAAGUCUAUUGUCCUUCCACAUCUGCAGCUUCCUGCAAGAAGCCACUACCUGCUGAGCAGCUGAGCUUGUUUUCCUGCUGAGAUGCUGACAAAGCUAGGAGAUCCUGGCAAAGAGGGGGAUGGGUUCCCCCCUUUAAAAAUUCAGACU
rnacentral:lncRNA from 1 species